rnacentral:rRNA from 1 species
AUGAACGCUGGCGGCGUGCCUCAUACAUGCAAGUCGAGCGAACAGACGAGGAGCUUACUCCUCUGACGUUAGCGGCGGACGGGUGAGUAACACGUGGAUAACCUACCUAUAAGACUGGGAUAACUUCGGGAAACCGGAGCUAAUACCGGAUAACAUGUUGAACCGCAUGGUUCAACAGUGAAAGACGGUCUUGCUGUCACUUAUAGAUGGAUCCGCGUCGCAUUAGCUAGUUGGUAAGGUAACGGCUUACCAAGGCAACGAUGCGUAGCCGACCUGAGAGGGUGAUCGGCCACACUGGAACUGAGACACGGUCCAGACUCCUACGGGAGGCAGCAGUAGGGAAUCUUCCGCAAUGGGCGAAAGCCUGACGGAGCAACGCCGCGUGAGUGAAGAAGGUCUUCGGAUCGUAAAACUCUGUUAUUAGGGAAGAACAAAUGUGUAAGUAACUAUGCACGUCUUGACGGUACCUAAUCAGAAAGCCACGGCUAACUACGUG